rnacentral:rRNA from 1 species
AGAGUUUGAUCCUGGCUCAGGACGAACGCUGGCGGCACGCUUAACACAUGCAAGUCGAACGAGAGAAGAGGAGCUUGCUUUUCUGAUCUAGUGGCGGACGGGUGAGUAACACGUGAGCAAUCUGCCUUUCAGAGGGGGAUACCGAUUGGAAACGAUCGUUAAUACCGCAUAACAUAAUUGAACCGCAUGAUUUGAUUAUCAAAGGUUUAUCGCUGAAAGAUGAGCUCGCGUCUGAUUAGCUAGUUGGUAAGGUAACGGCUUACCAAGGCGACGAUCAGUAGCCGGACUGAGAGGUUGAUCGGCCACAUUGGGACUGAGACACGGCCCAGACUCCUACGGGAGGCAGCAGUGGGGAAUAUUGCACAAUGGAGGAAACUCUGAUGCAGCGAUGCCGCGUGAGGGAAGAAGGUUUUAGGAUUGUAAACCUCUGUCUUCAGGGACGAAAAAAGACGGUACCUGAGGAGGAAGCUCCGGCUAACUACGUGCCAGCAGCCGCGGUAAUACGUAGGGAGCGAGCGUUGUCCGGAAUUACUGGGUGUAAAGGGAGCGUAGGCGGGAUCGCAAGUCAGAUGUGAAAACUAUGGGCUUAACCCAUAAACUGCAUUUGAAACUGUGGUUCUUGAGUGAAGUAGAGGUAAGCGGAAUUCCUAGUGUAGCGGUGAAAUGCGUAGAUAUUAGGAGGAACAUCAGUGGCGAAGGCGGCUUACUGGGCUUUAACUGACGCUGAGGCUCGAAAGCGUGGGGAGCAAACAGGAUUAGAUACCCUGGUAGUCCACGCCGUAAACGAUGAUUACUAGGUGUGGGGGGACUGACCCCUUCCGUGCCGCAGCAAACGCAAUAAGUAAUCCACCUGGGGAGUACGACCGCAAGGUUGAAACUCAAAGGAAUUGACGGGGGCCCGCACAAGCAGUGGAGUAUGUGGAUUAAUUCGAAGCAACGCGAAGAACCUUACCAGGUCUUGACAUCGUAUGCAUAGCUCAGAGAUGAGUGAAAUCUCUUCGGAGACAUAUAGACAGGUGGUGCAUGGUUGUCGUCAGCUCGUGUCGUGAGAUGUUGGGUUAAGUCCCGCAACGAGCGCAACCCUUACUGUUAGUUGCUACGCAAGAGCACUCUAGCAGGACUGCCGUUGACAAAACGGAGGAAGGUGGGGAUGACGUCAAAUCAUCAUGCCCCUUAUGACCUGGGCCUCACACGUACUACAAUGGCUGUCAACAGAGGGAAGCAAAGCCGCGAGGUGGAGCGAACCCCUAAAAGCAGUCUUAGUUCGGAUUGUA